UACGGGGGGGGCAAGCGUUGUUCGGAAUUACUGGGCGUAAAGGGCUCGUAGGCGGCCAACUAAGUCAGACGUGAAAUCCCUCGGCUUAACCGGGGAACUGCGUCUGAUACUGGAUGGCUUGAGAUUGGGAGAGGGAUGCGGAAUUCCAGGUGUAGCGGUGAAAUGCGUAGAUAUCUGGAGGAACACCGGUGGCGAAGGCGGCAUCCUGGGCCGAGAUUGACGCUGAUGCGCGAAAGCCAGGGGAGCAAACGGG
rnacentral:rRNA from 1 species